rnacentral:sRNA from 2 species
CGGCUUGUCAUCUGGGGAGUAGCCGCCUGCGCCCCUUGCCCCGGCCAUCGCCCGGACAAGACCAGCAGGACCUGUCGUCAACAUACUUGGUCGAGAGACCAUGGCGCACAGGAGGACGGAAAAUCCGUCC